rnacentral:lncRNA from 1 species
CGGAGUCGGCUGCCUCCCUCCCCAGGGCCCUCCAAGGGAGUGGGCUCCACAUCCAUGGGCCCGAGGAAUCUGCGGAGAGACGGGAAGAGCAGGGGACACUCACAGGGCGGGGGUCCAGGCGGGAGUCCAGUAGUCCUCGUGGAGACAGCUGGGAAAGGCCUCGGGGCAAGGGACCUCGGAUUUCCUCCUCUGCCUCAAAACAGACAGUCUAAGCUGGGUUGUGAAGAAAGCUUGUUAACCUCAAGAUUCAGAAGCACCGUUCACAGCACAAGCUUUGGAGUCAAAUUCAGGCUGUUAACUUGCUGCGUGCGCCCCCGACUUACCUCUUUCUGCCUGUUUGCUCAUCCGUAAAAUGGGAACUGUGACUGAGUCUACUUUGAAUCUGAUUAUGCUGCAUGAACUCAGAAGACAGGGCUCACACUGCAAAGUAUACAAAGGACCUGGUGCAGAGGAAGGGAAGUCUGUGGUCCAGAGUGGCACCUGAAGAUGAGCAUUUCGCAACUGGGACUCCUCCCUGCCACCUGGCCUCCCCUACUCAAUGAGCUUUUCCCUGUUGCUCUAUGAAGAACAUAGAUGUGUCCAUGAAGGUAUUAAUUUCCCUGAGGAAAGGUAAUAAAGACUGGAAUGUACCCAGAUAUAAAAUAAAAGGGAAGUGGCAAGUAUCUUACCUGGCACACAGUGGGAACAUAACCUGAGAUUUCUAUUUUCCAAGAUGGACUGAACGUCACAGGCAUCAGUAGAAGGCUGAGAUGGUCUAUUUUGAGGAGUGCUGUACGUGUUCGCGUGUGUGUGUGCACGUGCACACCCAUACACACACACACACACAGACUGAGAUUUUAAAAGACCCAGUAAAGCCACACCCAGUGGCUCGUGCCUGUCAUCCUAGCACUUUGGGAGGCUGAGUUGGGAGGAUCACUUAAGACCACGAGUUCAAGACCAGCCUGGGCAACAUAGGGAGGCCCCGAUUCUACAAAAAUUUAAAAUAUUGAUUGGGUAUGUUGGUGCAUGCCUGCAGUCCCAGCUACUUGGGAGGCUGAGGUGAGAUGAUUACUUGAGCCUGGCAGCGGGUCAAGGUUACAGUGAACCAUGAUAGCACCACUACACACCAGCCUAGGUGACAGCAAGACCUUGUCUCAAAAAAAAAAAAAAAAAA